AGCAGAAAUGCCCCAGCUCCCAGUGGUAAUAGACAGGCGCUGGGGAAUUUCUGCCAC
ensembl:miRNA mdo-mir-7293 mdo-mir-7293